rnacentral:rRNA from 1 species
AUUGAACGCUGGCGGCAUGCUUUACACAUGCAAGUCGAACGGUAACAGGCCUUCGGGUGCUGACGAGUGGCGAACGGGUGAGUAAUGCAUCGGAACGUACCCAGAGGUGGGGGAUAACGCAGCGAAAGCUGUGCUAAUACCGCAUGUGAUCUGAGGAUGAAAGCGGGGGACCGAGCAGCAAUGUUUGGCCUCGCGCCUUUGGAGCGGCCGAUGUCGGAUUAGCUAGUUGGUGGGGUAAAGGCCUACCAAGGCGACGAUCCGUAGCUGGUCUGAGAGGACGACCAGCCACACUGGGACUGAGACACGGCCCAGACUCCUACGGGAGGCAGCAGUGGGGAAUUUUGGACAAUGGGCGCAAGCCUGAUCUAGCAAUGCCGCGUGCGGGAAGAAGGCCUUCGGGUUGUAAACCGCUUUUGGCAGGAACGAAACGGUAUCCGCUAAUACCGGGCGCUAAUGACGGUACCUGCAGAAUAAGCACCGGCUAACUACGUG